rnacentral:tRNA from 1 species
GCGGGUAUAGUACAGUGGUAGUACACCAGAUUGCCAUUCUGGAGACGAGGGUUCGAUUCCCUUUACCCGCUCAA